UUUUCAGUGUCGCAGCAAAAGCGAUAAACACACCGCCUGGGGAGUACGACCGCAAGGUUAAAACUCAAAUGAAUUGACGGGGACCCGCACAAGUAGUGGAGCAUGUGGUUUAAUUCGAAGAUACGCGCAGAACCUUACCAACACUUGACAUGUUCGUCGCGACUCUAAGAGAUUAGAGUUUUCGGUUCGGCCGGACGAAACACAGGUGCUGCAUGGCUGUCGUCAGCUCGUGUCGUGAGAUGUUGGGUUAAGUCCCGCAACGAGCGCAACCCUUACUUUUAGUUGCUACCAUUUAGUUGGGCACUCUAAAAGAACUGCCAGUGAUAAGCUGGAGGAAGGCGGGGAUGACGUCAAGUCCUCAUGGCCCUUAUGUGUUGGGCUACACACGUGCUACAAUGGUACUCACAGUGAGAAGCGAAGAGGCGACUCUAGGCUAAUCUCUAAUAAGUACCUCAGUUCGGAUUGUACUCUGCAACUCGAGUACAUGAAGCUGGAAUUACUAGUAAUCGCGGAUCAGCGCGCCGCGGUGAAUACGUUCCCGGGUCUUGUACACACCGCCCGUCACACCAUGGAAGUUGGUUACACCUUAAGGCAAAGUGUAAAAUCUUUGACUACGGUACGAUCAGCGACUGGGGUGAAGUCGUAACAAGGUAGCCGUAGGGGAACCUGCGGCUGGAUCACCUCCUU
rnacentral:rRNA from 1 species